GGGUCAGUAGGUUGGUCGUGCCACCGGUACGUACUGAUCUCACUGAUUCCUCCUUCCUGAAGAACCGUAAUGCCAUUAAUUUGGUGUUGCGGGGAAACAGGACUGUUACUUUGAAAAAAUUAGAGUGUUUAAAGCAAGCUAACGCUUGAAUACAUUAGCAUGGGAUAAUGAAAUAGGACGAUCGAUCCUAUUUUGUUGGUUUCUAGGAUUGACGUA
rnacentral:rRNA from 1 species